UUAAGCGACUAAGCGUACACGGUGGAUGCCCUGGCAGUCAGAGGCGAUGAAGGACGUGCUAAUCUGCGAUAAGCGUCGGUAAGGUGAUAUGAACCGUUAUAACCGGCGAUUUCCGAAUGGGGAAACCCAGUGUGAUUCGUCACACUAUCAUUAACUGAAUCCAUAGGUUAAUGAGGCGAACCGGGGGAACUGAAACAUCUAAGUACCCCGAGGAAAAAGAAAUCAACCGAGAUUCCCCCAGUAGCGGCGAGCGAACGGGGAGCAGCCCAGAGCCUGAAUCAGUGUGUGUGUUAGUGGAAGCGUCUGGAAAGGCGCGCGAUACAGGGUGACAGCCCCGUACACAAAAAUGCACAUGCUGUGAGCUCGAUGAGUAGGGCGGGACACGUGGUAUCCUGUCUGAAUAUGGGGGGACCAUCCUCCAAGGCUAAAUACUCCUGACUGACCGAUAGUGAACCAGUACCGUGAGGGAAAGGCGAAAAGAACCCCGGCGAGGGGAGUGAAAAAGAACCUGAAACCGUGUACGUACAAGCAGUGGGAGCACGCUUAGGCGUGUGACUGCGUACCUUUUGUAUAAUGGGUCAGCGACUUAUAUUCUGUAGCAAGGUUAACCGAAUAGGGGAGCCGAAGGGAAACCGAGUCUUAACUGGGCGUUAAGUUGCAGGGUAUAGACCCGAAACCCGGUGAUCUAGCCAUGGGCAGGUUGAAGGUUGGGUAACACUAACUGGAGGACCGAACCGACUAAUGUUGAAAAAUUAGCGGAUGACUUGUGGCUGGGGGUGAAAGGCCAAUCAAACCGGGAGAUAGCUGGUUCUCCCCGAAAGCUAUUUAGGUAGCGCCUCGUGAAUUCAUCUCCGGGGGUAGAGCACUGUUUCGGCAAGGGGGUCAUCCCGACUUACCAACCCGAUGCAAACUGCGAAUACCGGAGAAUGUUAUCACGGGAGACACACGGCGGGUGCUAACGUCCGUCGUGAAGAGGGAAACAACCCAGACCGCCAGCUAAGGUCCCAAAGUCAUGGUUAAGUGGGAAACGAUGUGGGAAGGCCCAGACAGCCAGGAUGUUGGCUUAGAAGCAGCCAUCAUUUAAAGAAAGCGUAAUAGCUCACUGGUCGAGUCGGCCUGCGCGGAAGAUGUAACGGGGCUAAACCAUGCACCGAAGCUGCGGCAGCGACACUAUGUGUUGUUGGGUAGGGGAGCGUUCUGUAAGCCUGUGAAGGUGUACUGUGAGGUAUGCUGGAGGUAUCAGAAGUGCGAAUGCUGACAUAAGUAACGAUAAAGCGGGUGAAAAGCCCGCUCGCCGGAAGACCAAGGGUUCCUGUCCAACGUUAAUCGGGGCAGGGUGAGUCGACCCCUAAGGCGAGGCCGAAAGGCGUAGUCGAUGGGAAACAGGUUAAUAUUCCUGUACUUGGUGUUACUGCGAAGGGGGGACGGAGAAGGCUAUGUUGGCCGGGCGACGGUUGUCCCGGUUUAAGCGUGUAGGCUGGUUUUCCAGGCAAAUCCGGAAAAUCAAGGCUGAGGCGUGAUGACGAGGCACUACGGUGCUGAAGCAACAAAUGCCCUGCUUCCAGGAAAAGCCUCUAAGCAUCAGGUAACAUCAAAUCGUACCCCAAACCGACACAGGUGGUCAGGUAGAGAAUACCAAGGCGCUUGAGAGAACUCGGGUGAAGGAACUAGGCAAAAUGGUGCCGUAACUUCGGGAGAAGGCACGCUGAUAUGUAGGUGAAGUCCCUCGCGGAUGGAGCUGAAAUCAGUCGAAGAUACCAGCUGGCUGCAACUGUUUAUUAAAAACACAGCACUGUGCAAACACGAAAGUGGACGUAUACGGUGUGACGCCUGCCCGGUGCCGGAAGGUUAAUUGAUGGGGUCAGCGCAAGCGAAGCUCUUGAUCGAAGCCCCGGUAAACGGCGGCCGUAACUAUAACGGUCCUAAGGUAGCGAAAUUCCUUGUCGGGUAAGUUCCGACCUGCACGAAUGGCGUAAUGAUGGCCAGGCUGUCUCCACCCGAGACUCAGUGAAAUUGAACUCGCUGUGAAGAUGCAGUGUACCCGCGGCAAGACGGAAAGACCCCGUGAACCUUUACUAUAGCUUGACACUGAACAUUGAGCCUUGAUGUGUAGGAUAGGUGGGAGGCUUUGAAGUGUGGACGCCAGUCUGCAUGGAGCCGACCUUGAAAUACCACCCUUUAAUGUUUGAUGUUCUAACGUUGACCCGUAAUCCGGGUUGCGGACAGUGUCUGGUGGGUAGUUUGACUGGGGCGGUCUCCUCCUAAAGAGUAACGGAGGAGCACGAAGGUUGGCUAAUCCUGGUCGGACAUCAGGAGGUUAGUGCAAUGGCAUAAGCCAGCUUGACUGCGAGCGUGACGGCGCGAGCAGGUGCGAAAGCAGGUCAUAGUGAUCCGGUGGUUCUGAAUGGAAGGGCCAUCGCUCAACGGAUAAAAGGUACUCCGGGGAUAACAGGCUGAUACCGCCCAAGAGUUCAUAUCGACGGCGGUGUUUGGCACCUCGAUGUCGGCUCAUCACAUCCUGGGGCUGAAGUAGGUCCCAAGGGUAUGGCUGUUCGCCAUUUAAAGUGGUACGCGAGCUGGGUUUAGAACGUCGUGAGACAGUUCGGUCCCUAUCUGCCGUGGGCGCUGGAGAACUGAGGGGGGCUGCUCCUAGUACGAGAGGACCGGAGUGGACGCAUCACUGGUGUUCGGGUUGUCAUGCCAAUGGCACUGCCCGGUAGCUAAAUGCGGAAGAGAUAAGUGCUGAAAGCAUCUAAGCACGAAACUUGCCCCGAGAUGAGUUCUCCCUGACUCCUUGAGAGUCCUGAAGGAACGUUGAAGACGACGACGUUGAUAGGCCGGGUGUGUAAGCGCAGCGAUGCGUUGAGCUAACCGGUACUAAUGAACCGUGAGGCUUAACCUU
rnacentral:rRNA from 1 species